rnacentral:tRNA from 1 species
GGCCGAGUGGCGGAAUUGGCAGACGCGCCGGAUUCAAAAUCCGGUGUCCGCGAGGACGUGUCGGUUCGAGCCCGACCUCGGCUACCA